rnacentral:rRNA from 1 species
ACGGUAGUCCUUCGGGAUGAGAGUGGCGAACGGGUGAGUAAUAUAUCGGAACAUAUCCGUAAGUGGGGGAUAACGUAGAGAAAUUUACGCUAAUACCGCAUAUUCCCUGAGGGGGAAAGGAGGGAAUUCGCAAGAACCUUUCGCUGACGGAGUGGCCGAUAUCGGAUUAGCUAGUAGGUGAGGUAAAGGCUCACCUAGGCGACGAUCCGUAGCGGGUCUGAGAGGAUGAUCCGCCACACUGGAACUGAGACACGGUCCAGACUCCUACGGGAGGCAGCAGUGGGGAAUUUUGGACAAUGGGCGAAAGCCUGAUCCAGCCAUACCGCGUGAGUGAAGAAGGCCUUCGGGUUGUAAAGCUCUUUCAGCCGGAAAGAAAUCCUGCUUACUAAUACUAAGUGGGGAUGACGGUACCGGAAGAAGAAGCACCGGCUAACUACGUGCCAGCAGCCGCGGUAAUACGUAGGGUGCGAGCGUUAAUCGGAAUUACUGGGCGUAAAGCGUGCGCAGGCGGUUUUAUAAGCCAGAUGUGAAAUCCCCGGGCUUAACCUGGGAACUGCAUUUGGAACUGUAAGACUAGAGUGUAGCAGAGGGGGGUAGAAUUCCACGUGUAGCAGUGAAAUGCGUAGAGAUGUGGAGGAAUACCGAUGGCGAAGCAGCCCCCUGGGCUAACACUGACGCUCAUGCACGAAAGCGUGGGGAGCAAACAGGAUUAGAUACCCUGGUAGUCCACGCUCCUAAACGAUGUCAACUAAGUGUUGGGGAAGAGAACUUCUUUAGUACCGCAGCUAAACGCGUGAAGUUGACCGCCUGGGAAGUACCGGUCCGUCAAGAUUAAAACUUCAAAGGAAUUGACG